rnacentral:rRNA from 1 species
CGGAUUUGGCGGCAAGAUAGCUUUUUAGAGGAACCUGCCCUGUGAACGAUGAUCCACGAGAGCCUUACUUUAUUUUGAAAUCAGUUUGUAUACCGCUGUUGUCAGUUAGAUUUUUGAGAAUAUUUUCUUUUUGGUAAAGCCAAUGACUUCAAGUAAAGGUGCAGCUUAUAGUAAAGUUAGAGGUGGGUUACAUUUAUAAGAAUAAGACGGAUUAAGAAUUUAAUUGACUUAUGAAGGUGGAUUUAACUGUAAA